UACGUAGGGGGCAAGCGUUGUCCGGAUUUAUUGGGCGUAAAGAGCGUGUAGGCGGCCAGGUAGGUCUGCUGUGAAAACUCGAGGCUCAACCUCGAGACGUCGGCGGAAACCAUCUGGCUAGAGUCCGGAAGAGGAGAGUGGAAUUCCUGGUGUAGCGGUGAAAUGCGCAGAUAUCAGGAAGAACACCCGUGGCGAAGGCGGCUCUCUGGGACGGUACUGACGCUGAGACGCGAAAGCGUGGGGAGCGAACAG
rnacentral:rRNA from 1 species